AGAUACUCAUUUCCAAAGCAGAGAAUCUCACAGCUUCCUGCCAGCCACAUUCUGGGCGGGCGUUGCAUUCUUGAUUAUCGGAUUCCAUCUGUAUCUUGUAAAAUUAAUCUAUACUGAAUGUCAUCGCGAGACGAGAGCUGGUCGCUUUGCUAGAUAACGCUUUGUAUAAACUAGUUGAUUCUAUACGAUAAGCUGCUAUGGUUUGUGUUUGAACUUCCUGAAAAAGAUAUCUCAAACGUGGUGGUCCAGUGUAGGUAGUAUUCUACAAUAAGCUGUCGUGGUUUAUGUCUGAACUACCUGAAAAAGAUAUCUCAAACGUGGUGGUCCAGUGUAGGUAGUAUUCUACAAUAAGCUGUCGUGGUUUGUGUCUGAACUACCUGAAAAAGAUAUAUCAAACGUGGUGGUCCAGUGUAGGUAGUAUUCUACAAUAAGCUGUCGUGGUUUGUGUCUGAACUACCUGAAAAAGAUAUCUCAAACGUGGUGGUCCAGUGUAGGUAGUAUUCUACAAUAAGCUGUCGUGGUUUGUGUGUGAACUACCUGAAAAAGAUAUCUCAAACGUGGUGGUCCAGUGUAGGUAGUAUUCAUCAAAAAGCUGCCGUGAUUUGUGUCUGAACUAUAUUUGAAAAGAUGAGUAGUUUGAAUAUACAAGGGAGAGUUUUACACAUGCAUAAAAGGCGCUUCUAAUGUUCAAUUUAUAAAUAUAACGAACCCAACUAAUUUGAAAUACAACCGCAUCAUAAUUACGAUUUUUUUACUGGGGGUUAAAUUUACACUGUACAUUAUAUUAAAUAGAUUUUACACGCAUAAAAACUAUAAAUUUCAUUCGCGGACACUGUAGAUUAACACUUAAUUGGAUGUUAAUUGAAGAACUAAAAGGUUUAAUUUAGAAUAUAGUGUUUGGUGUUUACCGGUACGAAUAUGGUAGAGUACAAAAAUUCUGUAUUUUAAUUAUCGAUAUUUAUAAAUAUAUAUUGCAAUUCAAUAAGAAAAUUAAACAAAAUCUUAUUUAUUUGCCUG